CUGGUGCAAGAGUUCCCGUCCUACUAUCUGGGAUAGAAAGACAGACGUAAGGGGUGGACAUUACAAGCCAACAGGGAGGGCAGAGCAAAAACACCACCUUCCUCCUGCAAAACAGAUCAACAAGCCCACCUGAACAGGGCAGGAAGGGUCACAGCUACAACCUGCGGUCCCAGGAGGACUCCUUGCACAGGACCUUGGGAGCACGUUGGGAGUCUACAGCACCUGUACAUGGCUCACCUGUUAUCCGGUGGUUCACAAAUGUAGCACAGGGCAGCAUCAAGUUAUUUUGCUACAGGAGCUUUUCACUCAGGCACAGUUUGAUCUCAAGAGGAUUAAUUACCUGGCCUGGCGCAGAACAAAACA